UGGGGAAUAUUGGGCAAUGGGCGCAAGCCUGACCCAGCGACGCCGCGUGAGGGAUGAAGGUCUUCGGAUUGUAAACUUCUUUCAGUGGGGAAGAAGCGAAAGUGACGGUACCCAAAGAAGAAGCACCGGCUAACUAUGUGCCAGCAGCCGCGGUAAUACAUAGGGUGCAAGCGUUGUCCGGAAUUAUUGGGCGUAAAGAGCUCGUAGGUGGUUUAUCACGUCGGAUGUGAAAUUCUGAGGCUCAACCUCGGACCUGCAUUCGAUACGGGCAAACUAGAGUGUGGUAGGGGAGACUGGAAUUCCUGGUGUAGCGGUGGAAUGCGCAGAUAUCAGGAGGAACACCAAUGGCGAAGGCAGGUCUCUGGGCCAUUACUGACACUGAGGAGCGAAAGCGCGGGGAGCGAACAGGAUUAGAUACCCUGGUAGUCCGCGCCGUAAACGGUGGGCACUAGUUGUGGGAACCUUCCACGGUUUCCGCGACGCAGCUAACGCAUUAAGUGCCCCGCCUGGGGAGUACGAUCGCAAGAUUA
rnacentral:rRNA from 1 species